AUGCUCCUCCAAUUCUCCCCCCAUCCCUCCCCUCUCAUCCUCUCCCUCCCCGUCGCCACUUCCAGAGCCCGCCACCCUCACCCCCGCCUCCCUCCCGUCCGCGCCUCGCCUUCCUCAGAGCCGGAGCUCCUCGCCAAGUCCGCGCUCCGCCGCAUCUCCGACAAGCUCCGCAGCCUCGGAUACCUCGAGACCUCCCCGGAGCCCCCCAUUCCAGCCCCGGCCCCGAGCGCUGACGCCCCGUCCCCCGGGGAGAUUUUCGUGCCCACCCCGGCCCAGCUUCCUCGCCACCGCGUCGGCUCCACGCUAGACCCUAGCUGGGCCACUGGCGACGGCGAGGCAGACGCAGCGCGGCGCAGACAGAGGCGGGGGAGGGAUGCGGCAGCGGCACCGACGCCGCCGUCCGCGGCGGAGCUUACGCUGCCGCGGGACGAGCUGCGGCGGCUGCAGGGGGUCGGCAUCCGGCUGCGUAAGAGGCUCAAGGUGGGGAAGCCCGGCGUCACAGAGGGGAUCGUGAACGGGAUACACGAGCGAUGGCGCAACGCGGAGCUCGUGAAGAUCAGGUGCGAUGACAUCUCCGCCAUGAACAUGAGGCGCACCCACGAGGUCCUCGAGAGGAAAACUGGAGGCUUGGUUAUUUGGAGAUCUGGAAGCACCAUCAUAUUGUAUAGAGGAACCAACUAUAAAUAUCCUUACUUCCAUGACCAGCAAAAGAUUGAUGAUUGUCUCAAGGAUGAAUCAUCAGAGCAGAGCAGUUCUGAUGAUGAUGAUGAAGAUCUUGGUUUUUUAUCUGUGGAACAAUGUAGUAGUGAAGUGGAUGGUAAGAAUCAUACAGAAGAUAGUAUUCAUUAUGAAGAUGAGGCUGUCGAAAAUGUUGCCAUAGUAUAUGGAGAACAGACGAGUAUAGGAGAGGAACAUGAGAAUCAUGACAUAUUAUCUGUGGGGCAGAGCGUGGCCAGAAAGGAAGAUGCAAAUUAUCCCAUGAUAUCCUCUAAAGUGCCUGUUGUUGAUACACAGGAGGGUAGAUCAGCAGUGAAAAUUAAUAGUGGAGCUGCAAACAAACAGCAUGCAAGAUUUCAUAUAGGCACUAAUGUAAAUCCUCCUAGUGUGGUCAGACCUUUAGCUAGGUCUACCUUAGUUACCGGUGUUGGUUCUCCAAAUAAGUUCCGAUUACAGUUGCCCGGGGAGGUCAAGCUUGCGAAGGACGAUGACAAAUUAUUAGAUGGGCUGGGUCCACGGUUUUCUGAAUGGUGGGGGUAUGAUCCCCUUCCAGUGGAUGCUGAUUUGUUGCCAGCUAUCGUUCCUGGAUUCCGUAGGCCUUUCCGUCUUCUUCCUUCAGGUGUCCCACCCAAGCUAACAGAUAGAGAAAUGACUAUCCUUAGGAGGCUAGCUCGUCCUUUGCCCUACCACUAUGCACUUGGAAGAAGCAGUAACCUUCAAGGAUUGGCUGCAUCCAUGAUCAAGUUAUGGGAAAGGUGUGAGGUGGCGAAGAUUGCGAUGAAGAGAGGUCCAUACUGCAUUGAUAGUGAGCUCGUCUCUGAGGAAUUAAAGGACUUGACUGGUGGGACCCUUUUAUCAAGGGACAAUGAGUCAAUUGUACUAUACAGAGGAAAAGAUUUCCUACCCCCAGCUGUCUCUCUUGCAAUAGAAAAACGCAGAAAGCACGACAAUUCCAUGAUCAACAAGCCCAAGCCUGAAAUUGAAGAAAGCAUACCUACUCAAGAUGCUUCUGAACUGGAGAUGGCAAACGAUGCCUCCGUACACGGGCAUGAAUGUCAUGAAGAAAAACAUGAAGGUGAAACUUCUGUUAUAGAAUAUAGAACUGAAUCUCUAAAUACAGUUGCCCAGAACAUGGAAACCAGAUUAUCUCAGGCUAUAGCAGAGAAAAAGAAGGCUGAAAAACUUCUUGAGGAGCUAGAAAAGGCAUCUCGGCCUUCAAAAGCUGAAACAAGAGAGACAAUCUCAGAAGAGGAGAGGUACAUGUUGAGGAAAGUUGGUUUGCAGAUGAAGCCAUUUCUGCUGCUAGGAAGGAGAGGAGUUUUUGAUGGAACAAUUGAAAAUAUGCACCUUCAUUGGAAGUAUCGAGAACUUGUCAAGAUUAUAUGUAAAGAACACAGCACGGAAGAUGUUACAUAUGCUGCUCGAACACUAGAAGCUGAGAGUGGUGGUAUUUUGGUGGCAGUGGAGAGAGUGAGCAAAGGACAUGCAAUUAUAAUGUAUCGAGGGAAGAACUACCAGAGGCCGUCAGCUCUGAGGCCAAAAUCUUUGUUGAAUAAAAAAGAUGCUCUGAAGCGUUCUGUAGAGCUUCAGCGCCACAAGUCCUUGAAGCUUCACGUGCUUAAUCUAUCAAAGAACAUCGACUACUUGAGGGGCCAGAUGCAAAUGGAGGGUCAUCCAGUGGCUUUGUCUGAUCAGAUGAACCCAGGCCAUGAAAACAAAGGCAUGCAUGAUCUCUGUGACAACUCUGGAACAUUAGGGGAGACAAGCAAAGAAGUGCCUGAAGUUGCUCCUGAGUGUUUUGAGCCAGAGGGCGAAGAGUGCAGUUCAGGUGGAACAAAUAGAACCUUGAAUACAACCAGGUCUGGAGUUCCUUUAGAUGAUACACAGAAGAAGUUAUGUUUGAACGAGCUUAAAGAUGAUUCCUCUGAGGCUUCGAGGCCAUGCCUGAAUGGGAGUUCAAGUACAGCUUCAUCAGAUAAUCUGAUCGAAUAUCAAAAUACGCUGAGCUUUCCUGUAGCAUGCCAUUCAGACAGUGGUAGUGAAGAGGAUUCCAAAGUCUUCAAAACCCUUAGCCCUUCCCAGGCACUGGAUGAGCUAAUAUUGGACCAGAAACAUACUCCUCACUUGCCUUCCAAAGCUACACCUCUAUCAAAUCGGGAGAGACUUGUGCUAAGGAAGCAAGCUCUGCAAAUGAAGAAACGGCCAGUACUUGCCAUUGGGAGGAAUAAUGUCAUCACCGGAGUAGCAAAAACAAUACGGACGCACUUCAAAAAGCAUCCUCUUGCUAUUGUGAAUAUCAAGAACCGAGCAGAUGGAACUCCAGUUCAACAGCUGAUAUCAGAACUAGAGGAGGCGACAGGAUCGGUUCUCGUGUCGCGAGAACCAAACAAAGUGAUUUUGUACAGAGGCUGGGGAGCGGACGUGACCCAGACAAGUUCCAGGGAAGAUAGAACAAAUGAGGGGGAAAAGGAGGUGAUAUCACCACAGCUCCUUGAAGCCAUUAGAUUAGAAUGUGGACUGCACCCAGGUGAAUCACAAUAG
rnacentral:rRNA from 1 species